UUAGAGACAGAAUUAAAACUGGACCCUUUUAGAGUCUCCCAGUGAUCUACACAAGUACCGCCUGCUGUAGCCUUCUGGGUCCUAAAUCACGUCAGUUCAUGUCUCGUCUCCGGUUCCGAGACGUUACAGGCUUUAGCCCCGGAAUGGCAUUAUGUGACAUCAGAGUUCAGAUCGUUCCUGCAGAAGCUUUGUCUGUGAUAAUCAAGGUUUCAUUCUCACCAACUUGAUAAGCUGUAUCUGAGCUGUACCACUUCAGACUUCAAGCGGGGGCUCAGUGAAUUCUCCUCUGUAACAAGAACAAUAAAAAUCAUUCCAUACAGAAACCUAGCAUGCCAGUGAGAAGCUAGGCUAUAAACUACUAUUACUGCUAUGAAUUUUUGUAUGCUGCUUUUCAACAAAAGUUCCCAAAGCUAUUUCCGUAGCAAGAAUUAAAGAAAGGGCUUCCUGUCCCCAAAGGGCUCACAAUCUAAAAAAGAAACAUAAGACACCAGCAACAAUCACCGGAGGGAUGUUUUUCUGGAGUUGGAUAGGGCCAGUUGCUCUUCUGCUAGAUAAGGAAAAUCACCACUUUAAAAGGUGCCUCUUUGCUUAGUUAGAAGGGGAUCAGCAUCAAGUUUUCUACAUGGAAGGAUUUCCACAUAGGAUUUCAAGUUUUCUACAUGGAACUGGAAAAGGUGCAACCAAGAUGAUCAGGAGCCUGGAGCACCUUCCUUAUAAGGCAAGGCUACAGCAUCUGGGACUUUUUAGUUUGGAAAAGAGGUGACUACAGGAAGACAUGAUAAAAGUGUAUAAAAUAAUUCAUGGAGUAGAGAGAGCAGACAGAAAUACAUUUUUAUCCCUCUCUUACAACACUGAAACCAGGAAUCAUCCUAUGAAACAGGAGGUCAGGAAAUUUAGGACCAACAAAAAGUUCUUUUUCACACGGUGCAUAAUUAAUCUAUGGAAUUCUCUGCCAUGGGAUGUGGUGAUGGCCACUAGCUUGGAUUGUCAUGGGCAUGCUGUCAGACUCCAAGGAUGAGAAGGAGGCAGGCAGUGUGACAGUGAAGGAGGGAGUGCAGCUACCUCAAAGGCAAGUAGUUGCAGAGGCAAGCGGGACCAACUCACAGGAUGUUGAAAAAGAAACAGAGCCUAGUACGACAAUUCCUGUGGAGGAGGCGCAGCCGAUCUCAGCUGUAGAGAGGUGUCAGUCAAAGAGACAGGAGGAGAUAAGGAGACACACGUGCAGAAUGGCUCAACUAACAAGGAGACCCAUGAAUGAGUGCACAUGGCUUCAGCCUAUUUAAGUUGGCUUCGCCGCAGCCACAUUGCUGGUAGCAACGUGGUGCUUUGGUGAGCUACCCAGCUGUGUUCCUGCUUGUUUUGGACUGUGCUUUGACUCCAGACCGUUUGGACUCUGUUUUUGGAAUUCGACUUGGACUUGGUUUGACUGACAGGAUAUUGUAACGACUCAGACUGGCUGUGGUUUGGACAUUGCUUACUGUUUGGCUCUGACAUUCUCCUUUUGACCCUUUGCUUGCUGCAUGCUCCGUCUGCUGAUAUAUAGCUCUUGAUUAGCCUGACAGGUUUAUGACAUGGAUGGCUUUCAAAUGGCUUAGACAAAUGAGGACAGGUCUAUCAAUGGCUGAUAGUUUGGUGACUAUAGGUGGCCUCCAUCCUCCGAGGCAAGAUGCCUCUAAAUACCGGUUACAGAGGCACACCAGCAAGAGGGAGGAUAAAGGAGUGAUGAAAGAAACCAGUUUUGCAUUGCAAACACAGCCAAUGGAAAAUACUCAGCAACCAGCACGGGAGGUCCUGCUGGCUCCUGGUGGCUGGGUAGAAGAGGUGAGUGGGUUUACCCACGACCAGAAAGUUUUAUUUUAUUUAUUGUUAAAUUUAUAUACCGCCUUUCAUUAAAACAGUCCCAAGGCAGUUUACAGCAAAAGGUGGUUUACAGCUCUCCUCUCCUCCGUAGUUAGAAGCAGGGUAGGAAUGUUGGGUUAUCUUGCUUUGAGCAACUGGGGGUUUGGAGGGAUAUUUGUUAAUUCACAUGAUCAUGAAAACCAGGGUCGAUUGCCUCCUAACCUGAUUUUAGUUAUUCUAUCAUGUUCAUAGUGACACUGAACCUAGAAGGAGCUCAGAGCUAUUAUGACUAAUAACCAUUGAUAGACUUGUCUCCAUGAAAAUGAAUUUGCCUUAUGAACUGCCCCAUUGGGUAAGUUGCUAUCAGAACUGUAGUUUAUCUAACCCAGAUCUACCUGCUGUAGUAGGAUCUUCCAGAUUAGUGCAUAUCCACAAACAGAAAGCAGGAUCAAUAAAUGUUCACAAUACAAGAAAUGGCUACAGUGUAUUUAGUGAAACAUUAUUAGUAAAACAAAUCCAGUUGUGAAUAAGUGGUUUAGGGAGUAGGAGUGAUUUUUGUCUAUUUCCUCUUUUGUUUGAAGCCAACUGUGACUCCUGAAAAUAUGUCCCUAAGGAUUAUACAGCCCAGUAGGCUUCAGAGGGAAGGGGAGAUCAGCUAAAAUCAUCCUCCCUUGCAUGACAGCACAGCAUUAGUCUGGAAGAAACACUGUUGCACCAGUCUACAUGUCAGCAAGCAUGUUGUACUGCUUUAUCGCUGUAAGCCACCUUGGGUCAUUUUUUGGAAAAGGUGGGUAAAAACGUUUUUUAAAUAAAUGAAUUCAGACAUUCUUUGACUUAUGUUAUAUGGAUUGCUGAACCCAUACAUCUAAAUUGAUUCUUGAUUAAGAUCUCCCAAACUGUAUCAUAACCACCAAACCAUGAAAACCCUAUAAUUUUAUGGAUUUUCUUUUAGCAAUCUUUAGAUUUUGAGGCCUUAGCCAUAUAUAGCUCAAAUAUUAUUUCACCUGAUAUAACAAAGUAAACAAAUAAAUAUGUUUAUUUGAAAUGUAUAUUAUAUCAACAUUAUUAUAUAUAAUUAUUAUUUAUAAACAUUAUUUGCACCUUAUAUAUUUUUCACUUCAUAUCCCCUAGUGGCUUACUCCUGUUUGGGCUAACCUCCACAAAAUAUUGUUUUGUGCUGGUUUUGUAUGGAAAACAUAUCCAUACAAAUAUUUAGGAUUGGACUUCACUACUUAUGAAAUAUUUAACACAAGAUCUUUGUGAGAUAACUAGUGUGAAUUUUAUCCCCCAUAUAAAGACAUUUUUUAAAACCCAUACACAAAAAGCAGUAUAGAAAAAUGUCAAUUUCAGAAGCAUAGUCCCAAAUAUCUUAAGAGAAGGCUACAAUUAUAAUAACAUCUUCUGAACAUCCAUUUACCUAUUUCUGUAGGUAAACUUACGUGUUCCAUUACAAUCCUGUGUUAGCUGAACUCUUAGAUUUGGCCAUGCUUCUAGCUGGGAAGGGUGGCUUCUAAUGCUGGUUUGGACCACAAGGGUUUUGCCAAGACAUAGUUUGCAGAUCCCCUAGUAUUUUCUGGUCUUUCAGAGAGAGUGCUUUAUGGCAGAUCUUAAGUAAGAUUAUCCAAAUUGUUAGAAUGUCCCCCUGCCCACUUAAAUAAAUGAACCUAUAGUAUAUUUUGGGGAAACCUAACUGGAGACUUAUAACAAAUUGUAGUCAAGUUAUGUUUAACAGAAGUAGCACAAUGGAGAUGAACUAAAGAGGAAGAGCAACAAUUGUGUAGUUUGAAAACAAACUGCAAAGACCUUGUAAUGUUCUUUUUUUGGUUGUUUAGAUAAAGGACUUAGAUAGUACAAAGAGUUCCUUUAGUAUACUGUUUUCCAAUACUGUAAAAUAGGAGAAAAAGGAUUAAAGCACGGGGAAUUAUGGAAGAAUCAUAUAUGAUGAGACGAGUUUGAGGAGCAUGCCAGGGAUAAACAGAUAUCAUCAUGGAAAGCCCCAAAGCCCAAAACACUCUUUAUAACAGGAUUAGGCAAGAAGAGUGCAAUUUUUGUCACACAGAAAGGAAAGGAAAACUCCAGGGUGCAUGCCCUGGACUUCUGAAAUUUGAAGUAAGUUAAUAGGGAUUUAGUUUGUGUGGUAGGGGAUAGACUGCAGAGAAGUCAGUAUGAUAUUUGUGAUAGCUUACAGGUGUGCCACAAAUAGAAAAUUCUAAGAACAACUCAGGUAUAGUCUUUAAAAUACAGAUAUAAUUUGAAAAGUAGUUGCCUGGUCUUUUCAAACCAUUUUUGAAGCUUUGUUGUUACAGUGUGUAAAAAAAAAAAAAAAAAAAGAUGAGAGGAAGCCACAUUGUGAAACGGGAGGACACUGAAGAGAACUGAACGUUUCUGAGGUACAAAUGUGUGAAUAUUGACUACCAUUUACCAAAUGGUAACUUAACACUGUGUACAUAUAACCACCAUUUGAUAAACAAAUAAUCUGUAUCAUCCUGCAAUGUGCUUGCAAUAAUGUUGUUACUCCCCUCCUUCUCCAGAGAACUGAUCAUAUUCAGAAGUGUAGUAACUUUCUCUUCACUACUUGGCACGAUUAUACAUAAAACUAUAUU